UACGUAGGGUGCAAGCGUUGUCCGGAAUUAUUGGGCGUAAAGAGCUCGUAGGCGGUUCGUCGCGUCGGCUGUGAAAACCUGAGGCUCAACCUCAGGCCUGCAGUCGAUACGGGCGGACUUGAGUACUGCAGGGGAGACUGGAAUUCCUGGUGUAGCGGUGAAAUGCGCAGAUAUCAGGAGGAACACCGGUGGCGAAGGCGGGUCUCUGGGCAGUAACUGACACUGAUGAACGAAAGCCAGGGGAGCAAACGGG
rnacentral:rRNA from 1 species